CCUUUGGAUGACGAAGAGAUGAUUUCGUACAUCCUCACAGGUUUCGGUAUCAAGUACAAUCCAAUCGUGUUUGUCAUCAUAGCAUGAGUGGAACCAAUAUCGGUCAGUAAAUUAUAUGCCCAGCUGUUAAGCUUUGAAA